rnacentral:antisense_RNA from 1 species
CCUCAGAGGUAGCAAAGAAGAGGAGGAGGAGGGUAAGAUGAGACAACAGAAGUAUUAACUUGUGAAACAACCUCAGAGCAGCAUUCUAAACAUCAGCUGGGAUGCACAGAAUUGCAACUAUUUACACAAAGCCAGCAAGUUAUUAAGAAUGAACACAAGGCUAGGGCGUUUGUGAUCCCGGUUUUAGUGGCUGAAAUUGUAAUUAAACUGCGAAGAGAAAUGGACGCUAAGAUUGGCCUUGACACUAAUUACCAGAAAGAAAGACAUUUAUGCAAAUGUAUCAGAAGGCUGAACUUCAGCCAUUCUGAACCCUCCCCCCCCUGUGUGUUUGGGGGUAAGGGACCCAGGUGACCGCUCACCUCCCCUUCCUCCUGGAGCCCUGAAGUCGGAGGCCCUGAGCCAUGGACGGUAUCUGAGGAUCGGUUUAGCGUAUCUGGCCGGAGAAAUUGGCAACAUUUGCUACGAAUAAAACCCAAGCGUUUCCAGCAGCCAUUUUGAAUUAAGUUUCCCACCCGACAAGCCGUCGUCCCCUCCACUGCACAUCCAGGAUCCGGUGGAGGAGAAAGGCGCCGGGCGGAGGGUUGGGGA